AUGGGGAACCUGUGAUUGGGUCUCUGCUCUCCAGGAAUGUCUAGCACGCAGGCAACAUCACAAAGGAGGGCAGGACUGGCUGUGGGGUGCAGUGGACUGCAAAGGGGGAGAUAGGACAGAGGCUUUUAGCAACUAGGGGAAGUUUCACGAGGAGGAGGGGCUGACACCUGAAGCAGAGAUGAGAGUCCAACAGGCAGCAGGUGGGCGGGGAUCUGUGUCUGCAGAAGUUCAGCGGUGAAGGCUACACCAGGAAAUCUCAAGAGACAGAAAAGAUCAACUACACUGGAGCUGGGGGGACGUGAAGGAGAAAAAAAUCACAUUCAAUCACAACAGUUGGCACUUGUCUUAUUUCUGGAAGGCCCAUAGGUCCUGCUUUGGUGACCCCAUCACCCGAGUGCAACCCAGAGCUGUGCUACACAGGGCGACUAAUAGGGACUGAGUGUGUGAAAGACUGAAAUGCUGUGGCUGGAGAUGCUGAGAAAGGGAAGAGCGGGAUGGACACAAGGCUGGAGACCCAUGCAU
rnacentral:lncRNA from 1 species